UUUUAAGAGGUACUAAUAGCUAUAGAAUAAGUACUAGCAGUGUGCGAGUAGAUGCUAGUAUGUUGUAGGGAUUAAAUGUUAAAGUGGCUUGCCAUACACUCACAUUCACCACACUGCACUAAUGAGGAACGUGUGCAUGAAGAGCACCGCAGACUUGAGUUUUAAUGUGUGUUUAAAACUGUAGAAGAAACGGAUCAUGAAAGAAACCUAGCAAGGAAAGGUACAGUCACUUCAGAAGACUGCAAUCACUGAGCAUCAUGGGAAAGCGGAGGAUUCUCACAGUCACAUUAACAUGUUUAGUUUACAGACUCUGACAGAAACACACCUUCAUCAUCAUCAUCAUCGUGGAGACGGACUGGUCUCUCAUGUGAACUCUGUACAGUAACUGGAGGAUUUCUGUUGGUUUUGAUACUAUUCUUUGUUUUAGCGUUCGUGAGUCCAGGCCGACUGCACCGUACUGCCAUCUGCGAGGAAGAAGCCCCGCUCGGUGGUUUUGUGGCGGUCUGGAUCAGAGAAUAUUUGACUGUAUUUGACUUUUCCUUGUUUUUUUUUUUUUUUUUAUGUAUACUUGGUGAAAUUUCAUAGAGGAAAAGUGCACUGAAAAAAAGUCUUAAUCGAGUCCAGAAGUCGUAGGUGACAAUAGGCCAAACACUAAAAUUGAGAAACGAAUUAAAACCAAAACAAACAAAAAAAAAUUAAUACUGCUGUCUGUUAAUGUUCACUGUGUUUUAUACAGUACCUAAAUUUUUGUUCACUUUGAACAUUUUUACGUAACAUUUCAGAACGUAUUGUGCAAAGAGAUGUAAUUUUUUUUUAGUACUUGAACUGCAUUAAUAAACAGACUGGGUUGAAGCGCUGCUGUUUGUCUGUCUCUUAUACACAUCUCUGAUGCGUGGUCUUGUGCCGAUGGUCGUCGAGGUCUUUACAUACAGUCUGGAUCUGGUGGCUGCAGUGACCUCAGAAUAAGAGAGAAACAGACUAAUAUUAGUUAGAUGCCAUUCUUCUUACGAUGUAGCGAGUACAUCGGGUGUUAUUGGAAGUGUUCCCGGUUCCGGUUGACCUAAUUAAUGCAGCCUAACAAUCCUUUAAUGGAUUUGAAUUACAGAAAUGUGAUAGUAUGUAAUGUGUUUGUCAGGUUAAAGAGAUGGGUCUUUAAUCUAGAUUUAAACUGACAGAGUGUGUCUGCCUCCCGAACAAUGUUAGGUAGAUUAUUCCAAAGUUUGGGCGCUAAAUAGGAUCUGCCUU
rnacentral:lncRNA from 1 species